ensembl:lncRNA LINC01569 long intergenic non-protein coding RNA 1569
GAGAUCACCCAGUAUCCCUCAGUGUUAACAUCUUGCAUAGCUACAGUUAGCAUAGAAGCCAGGUAAUUGACAUUGGUACUGUACAUGGGACUUACUCAGAUUUACACGUUUUUUAAUGUUUUAUGUGUAUGUAGUUCUCUAUUCUCUACCAUUUUUAUGAGAGUUCCAGUUGCCUUGCAUUCCCACCAGCACUUAGUAUUGUCAGAUUUAUCAUUAUUUAGGUAUUCUGGUAGGUGUAUGGUGGAAUCUCACCAUAGUUUUAAUUUCUUCUCUUUUUUUAAAAAAUAGGAACAAGGUCUCACCAUGCUGCCCAAGCUGGUCUGAAAACUCUUGUCCUCAGGCAGUCCUCCCACCUCGGCCUCCCAAAGAUCUGAGAUUACAGGCAUGAGCCACCACACCUGGCCUUGGUUUUAAUUCCUGUCACAGUAUAUUAGUUUUCGCUGUUGUGUAUUGAUUGAUUGAGACAGGGUCUCGCUCUGUUGCCCAGGCUGGAGUGCAGGGGCAUGAUCCCAGCUCACUGCAACCUCCACCUCUUGGAUUCAAGUGAUUCUCCCGUCUCAGCCUCCCGAGUAACAGGAACCACAGGUGUGUGCCAGCACGCCUGGCUAAUUUUUUUUUUUUUUUUCUUGAGGUGGAGUUUCACUGUUGUUGCCCAGGUUGGAGUGCAGUGGCACAAUCUCAGCUCACUGCAACCUCUGCCUCCUGGGUUCAAGUGAUUCUCCUGCUUCAGCCUCACGAGUUGUUGGGAUUACAGGCGCCCGCCACCACGCCCAGGUAAUUUUUGUUUAGUAGAGACGGGGUUUCACCAUGUUGGCCUGGCUGGUCUCGAACUCCUGACCUCAGGUGAUCCACCCACCUCGGCCUCCCAAAGUUGUGGGAUUGCAGGCGUGAGCCACUGCGCCUGGCCUAAUUUUUCAAUUUUUUGGUGGAGAUAGGGUUUCACCAUGUUGGCCAGGCUGGAGUUUUGCCUGUUCUAGAAGCUUGUAUCAGUCAUACAACACCCCUUUGAGGAACCGUUUGAGGUGUGGCACGAUACAGCAAGUCAGCUGCCAAAGAGGGGCUUAGCCACAGGAAGUGCGUGCCCAGAACGCAGUUCUAUGAGGCUGGCUGCCCUGUUUGACAACUGAGGCCCGCAUCUUCCCCGGAAUCACCGACGUGUGGCUCUGAGCCCUGUCCCAGGGAUUUUCUCCAUCAGAGAAGAGGAGCACUUUGAGCUUUGAGAGGAGCAGCCCUCUGCAAGUGAAGUGGAAAAAAAGGAAGCAGGCGAGGAGGCCCAUCCAGACCCUCCCCCAAGACCCUUGCUGAAAUGGCUGGGAUGCGGCGUGCAGAAGCUCUCCUUUCCUUCACAGCCCCUGGCUUUCCAAGAGUCCCUGCCCACCCAGAUGCCCGCUGGCAGAUGCAGCCUCAUCUCAAGGACACUGCUUGCUGGAUAAAUCCCUCACCACCCUAGAGACAGCCCACGGUCCUGAGACAAGGAUGCGGGCCAGGCUUGUUGCACGUAAGCGCCUCCCGCAGAAACCAGUGAGGCCGGAGUUCCAGAGGAAAUGAUGUAGGGACAGAGGCAGAGGGCCUCCAGGAGGCACCAGCCCCAGAGUCUUCCCUAGAAUCAGACUUUAAGCACAAGCAGGGAGGGAAAGCACUUGAGCAGUGCCCGUCCCUGCAUACCUGGCCUCUGCUGGAACCCAUGCAGGGACAGGACACUUCUUUAUCAGCAAUCCUGUUCCUCUCCUGGGCAGCUUCAACCUGAACAUCCUCCUUCACCUUGAGCUAAAAUGGGUUUCUUGUCACCCUUGCCCAUCAAACCUGGCCUUGCCCUCAGGAACCACACAGGACAAGCCUAAUACUUCCUUCUUGUGGCAACACUUUAGCAAUUGAGACCUGGCUGUCAGGUCCUCCAAAUAAA